CUCCGGUCUGGCAAUACGCACUUCCUAUUUGGGGUUCUUUGAUAUCCAACACAAGGUUCAAACAAAUUGAAGCCACCCAAAACAAGAUAAUUCGACUUAUAGUUAAAGCAAGCAGUAAUAGACUUGCUGCUUCUCUAUCCUGCCAUCCUAACCCUGAGGCAAUACAGCUGAAUGGCCUAGAUAUAAAGCACAACUGGAACGUCAUUUUCUGCCCUUAAACCACCAGCCUCAGCAGUGCCCUAAUCAGCUACAACGGCAGUAUCCUACCCUAAUCCGCCUUGAACAGCAGCUACUAGAACGACAAUCCCUAGAGAGGCAAAAACUACUUGCGGAAGAACGUGUAAACUUGCAAAAGAGUAAAUACGAAAGCGCACUCGCCACUGGUAUACCACUGGAGCGGCCAUCUAUCUGCUGGGUCAAUGCCAUGUCACAGGAUCCAUGAUCCAUGAAUUUCCACCACCUACCCAAGAGCAGCAGCUUGAGGCUGGCCUGUUAAGGCUUAAACUGCAACUAGAAAAUAUGAUUGAUAAUUCUAAUGACAGAAUUAUCAGUGGCCAGUGCCCAGUGGAGUCAGAAAAACAAUAACUCCUCUGCUUCCUAACUCGUUUCUCAGCCUCUUUCAGCCUAUCACUACUGCCUGCCCAGUACCUAAGACUGCUUCCAUUGCCGCACUUUGGAAAACUGAAGUUCUAAAACCUCCCUAAUCUGGUGUGCAACAAGUCCGAUACCUUCUUAAAACGAAUGCGCCAAUAAUAUGGGACAAGAUCACGACUGUCGGCAAUUGUUGUCUUCUAAUGGCCAAAAAGAAGCAAGAACAUUCAGCGAUUCAGAAAGUCCUGCAUGUGGUCCAGAAACCAGCUAUUCCUGUCUCACGUUUCUGUGUUGGAUUCGUUGGCUGCCAUAGGUCUGAUCCGGCCAUGCUAAAAAGAGGGAAAAAUGCACAAUUAAAAUAUUUUUGUAAUCUUAUUGCUACUAAAACCAUAAACAUCAACG